UACGUAGGGUGCAAGCGUUGUUCGGAAUUAUUGGGCGUGAAGAGCUCGUAGGCGGUUUGUCGCGUCUGCUGUGAAAACCCGAGGCUCAACCUCGGGCCUGCAGUGGGUACGGGCAGACUAGAGUGCGGUAGGGGAGAUUGGAAUUCCUGGUGUAGCGGUGGAAUGCGCAGAUAUCAGGAGGAACACCAAUGGCGAAGGCAGAUCUCUGGGCCGUAACUGACGCUGAGGAGCGAAAGCAUGGGGAGCGAACAGG
rnacentral:rRNA from 1 species